UGACUUCCCUAAUUGGUGGUGUGACUUUC
rnacentral:piRNA from 1 species